GAAUGUUGUUUCUCGAGUGUCGGGAGCAACUUUCGCUGAGGCCAAGUGCCGAACCCUAAAAUAGUGCGUUGGGAUUUCUUCGUUCCUAGACCACUAAUGUAGGAACGGCAGGACGCGAUUGUGAAGGAACUGAGAUGGAAACCAAGAGUAAAACGGAGCUGAAAAUGAAGAGUCCCAGGGUACAGACAAUUUGGAGGGGAUUGCAACCCUAUCUCGGAGCUCUGUUGUUGUGCUUCAACCUUUGCUGUAGUAAUUGCUUGUUUCGAUCCAUCACGCCUUUCAUCGCCAACCAGUCUAGCAGCAACCUACGCUCCCGCAACGUUGCCAUGCAGGCUUUCCUUGCCGCGUUUCAGUACGUAGCUAUUCACUGCAUUUUUGCAGGUUUCAUGUGGUAGUCCUAUUGGAGGUUUCGGGUUUUGGAUCACAUGAUGUGUGGUACCCGGGCGUGAAGAGGAGUUCAUACUAGUAGAAUCGGGUAUCUGCGACUGUUUUUUUCAAAAAAUGAAUCAGGUGAUCAGUAGCUGCGUGGCGUCUGGUGUGCUUGCGAAUUUGUUGUCUGAAUUUGUUCACGAUGACGUGUUCUCAGAUGAGUCCACGAGGAAAGAAACAGGUUAUCGGGAAUAUCUCGCGAGUAUCCAGGCCUCGAAGGUUUGCCUCUUUAGUGUUCCACGUAUUCUUCUGUAAUCCAGCCGUGGUUCUGCUGUUAUAGGACGCUGAAUGUUGUUGUUCCAUCGUGGAGAUGCUACAUUGCAUUAAAUCUUUACAGUAGAUUAGUUCUAGUGAAUAGCCAGGUGGAUACUAUAAGAUGCGCUCACUGCACCUCUGAUAAGACAUUCAAAAGGUUUCUCUUUGUUGAAAUGCCUGUGGACGCAUGAACUUUGAUGCUAUCUGAAGUGGUUUAGAUAUUUGAUGUCAAGUACGUAGGACAUGUGAAUGUUGUGCUGUAUCAUAUUUCGUUGCCAUUUGGAAGUUUCCGUGCUGAAGCUUUGUUUUCUACUUCCCCUGUCUAUUCUUCAGGCCGUGGCAGAUGUUAUUUGAGCAACACUGGGGCUGAUGUCUAUGCUUAAGACGUUACUCGAUGCUAGUGAGGGUAUUGCACUUGAGUGGCAAAGUCUUUUCCACCAUCGUCAUUUUCAUGUCAACAUUCUCUUAGUGUUGAAAUUUGUGACACCGUUUCUAACAACUCUAUGACGGUGUUGUUGCGCGUAACGAGGUUUAUGCUGAGGAUCUUUGUUCUUUUGGCAGAUAUUAAAUUCUUAAACUAUGGAAUUGCAAUCUUAAGAGAGGUUGGUAUUUUCCAUGUUGCUGCUGCAAGGCUAGCUAUUGUGGUGCUCGGCGAGUAAUGACUGCAUCAGAAUCGUGACGAGUCAUGUUGCGCGUUGACUUUGAAUUCAUUAUGCAAUGAGUGUGGUCGUGCAAUGUUGGAUGUGCAACAUCGACUUUUGCUUGAUACCGGGAAUCUAUGAUGGAGCUCAGUCGUACGUAAGAUGAAGAGGUUGAUGAUGGAACUGCGUCGGUGAUCGUUCUGGAAGAUUUCAUCUUAAUUUGAACAGUGCACAACUUGACUGGCAGACGUCCUGCCUUUAUAGAACGGAGAUGCACUUGCGACCACUUCUACUGUCUUAUGAGAAACACGCCAGAUUAUUUUACUGCCUCGCAGCAGUUACUCACUUUCUUUGGCACAUCACUUUCAGAAGAAUCGUAUCGAUGAGCUGGCGAGAUGUUCUGUGUUGCCAAGCAAGUUCUUGGUUUGCAGUUACACCUCAUUGUCAUAUGCCGAGGUUGACACACUCAAACUCCUCGUUCAGCAUAUUUAAAGACUUUGAAGAAUGCGUUGUUCUGAAGGAGAUUGCUUUGACAUUGAUGUCAUAGAUUAGCUCCUGUACUGCCAAUGGAGGAAGAGUAUUUUGAGUACAUAAUUGUUCAAACAAUAAAGUUCAAGCCUUAUUUGGUGAUUACUAGGGACGGAUACCUGGCCCCAAAUUUCCUACCAAGGCGGAUAUUAGAGCAAUUCGCAAGCUAAGAUGGUCAGAUAACAACCUUAUUGCUCAUGCUGGUUGGGCUACUGUUGUAAAUCGGUCACAAGAACUCCAGGAGAAUGAUGUCGGUACUCGUUGUGACUUGUUUGAAGUCAAAAAUAUUGGGGGUGAGCACCUCCAAUUCAUUGGCGCGUGAUUCCAUGGAGGUCGCAAUAUUAUCAAAGAUGAAUAAUUGGUUCCAGGUAGAGGAGCCUCAGAAAUGGCUGUCGCAGCUACAUUGGAGAAAAAGAGCAUGUCGAUUAAAGCUGCGAACAGGUUGGUCACUGUAUACAGAGCAUGUGUAACGGAGACCUUGUUUUAAAAUUGGCGAAAGAGAUUACAAUCAAUGGAUGUUUUCCUGAGUUAAAUAAUCUUGCCAAUCCUAGUUAUUUACUCUUGAAGGACCAAUCGACCAUUUACGGGGCUGCCUAAAAAUUUAAAGACCUAUUUUUGCUUUUCGGUGGGUGUGUGUGUGCGUGUAGUAUGUGAAUGUUUGCUUAUUUACUUAUUUGUUUACAUUUUGUUUUUCUUUGUUUUGUUUUGUUUUUUUUUUUUUUUCAUGUUUUUUGGUUCGUGGUUUGCAAACAGAGAAUUGAGAUCAAGGCCAUCAAGUUUUUGUAAUGUUGAGAUAACUGUAUGUGGGACUCAAUAGACCUUGGGAUAGUGAAAAUAUCUUUGGCGUGUUUUUGACCUAGCUAUUAUUAAAAAAAAGCAGAUACCUAGGUUAGUACUUCAGUCUGCAGUUACUUGAUGAACGACUUGGUAUAUGUCCUAUUAUAUUCACCUUCACUUGAAUGCUCUAAGUUCCUAAAUCAUUUUGCUUGUCAUGAUCAAGCAGGUGUGGGAGUCAUUUAGUUACAUUUUAGACUUUAGUUACAGACUGUAAAAGCUCUAACAAAGCUGCUUGCAUUCUUUUAGGAAUUGAUGACAUCGUAAAUGGUAUUAAGAAGAAGACAGACUCCGGAGCUUCUUCCAAGAAGUCCGUAACAUCCUCUGGGGAAGGUCUUAAUAUUGAGAAAUUGAAUCCGAAAGUUUUUCACGUAAGGUAGAUUAAAUGCUACAUAAUUCUUGUGGAUCAUGAAGACCAAGAUGUUUGUUACUAAGCCCUACCCAGCUUGUCUUGUAAGGGAUAGCUACCUUGCACGAGGAAUAUGGGUGACUUGAGUGUGCUGCCUCCGCAUCCUUCUCUUUGCCUAGGGUGGUCUAAAAGGUGGAGCUAGAAGAAAGGUGGCUGAGAAUGUUGACAGUAAUGAAUUCGGAUUCUGCCGUCGACAGCCUGAGAGUUGACUUGUGUUCUUUGCCAUAGAUGGUUUUAGCUCAAGUUUUGGGAGUUCGAAAUCCAAGGUUUUUCAAUCAAAUUCAAUGGGACGUAAGAAUUUUUUGGCGGUUGUCUCGGGAUCAAAUCAUAGAGUAUGUCCCGAUAGUUACUAAGCACAAGUGGGCUUUGUGUUCAUAGGCAGUUGCACGUGAUUUGGCGAUUGACCUUUCGGAUGGGUUUUUGGAUGAGGAUGAGACGAACAGUAUUCGAAGACCUAUGCUCUUGAGUGGCAUAGAUAUUGUCUUUGCUGGCACUUAUCUUUAAUGUGUCAAUUUCAGUUCUUGGAGGCCUGCAUGUGGUCUGCUCCGAUCAGAAUGUGCAUGGAUCUUGUCUACGUUGUUGAUAAAAUCUAUUUUGCAGGAUUUUUAAUUGUGCUUUCAUCAGGGUGAGCAAUCCCAUUUCUAGAGUCAACCAUUUUGGUGUAGUGCUCCUUCGCCGAAAGAAGUCAGAAUUCCUUGUUUCAGGAUUGACUGCUUCCAGUUACAAUCAUACCGCAUACGCAGACUUACUGUGUGCAUGUACUGGUGGAAAGGCAGGGCUUAUUAAUAGGAGUGGAACUCGAGCAGCACUGUGGUUCUGGAAGUUGUCUCUUCAGCCCUGGAUGUGUCACAUAAGCAUACAUGGGGUUUUGUGAGGCAGGUCUUUAUUUCCUCUAAGGGACACUUAAUCUAAAGCUGGCUACAAGUGUGUAAAGCUUGGCUUUGUCUACACCUGUCACUGCCAUUAUCUUUCUAGACCCACUCAUACCUAUGCCGUCCGGCACCUUGUCUGCUGUAGGUCUUGCCAUUGUUUCCGGAUGACUGACAUAGUCACGCGUGUGUUUUGAUCCUUUGAAUUUUGUCCUCAUAGGGUGCAAGUGGCGCUGGAUUGAGUUUGUCCUUUACAGAUUCCUCUGUGUUGUACUUGGUUACUUGCGAUGAUUCGUAUAGUUACAUCACAUGGUAUAGUUAUGCGUCACACGACUUUACUCCUUCAAUGCCUUUUAUCCUCGAUAUUCGAAUCAUGUAGAUGAUGACUGAAAAGAAAAAACUAACAUGCAUGUGCGUUGCUGUGCAACACUUGCUGUUAGAUGUUUUGUUAA